UACGUAGGUGGCAAGCGUUGUCCGGAAUUACUGGGCGUAAAGGGCGCGUAGGCGGGAUGGCAAGUCGGUCGUGAAAUCCCUCGGCUCAACCGAGGAACGUCGAUCGAUACUGCUGUUCUUGAGGAUUGCAGAGGAGACUGGAAUUCCCGGUGUAGCGGUGAAAUGUGUAGAGAUCGGGAGGAACACCGGUGGCGAAGGCGGGUCUCUGGGCAAUUCCUGACGCUGAGGCGCGAAAGCGUGGGGAGCAAACGGG
rnacentral:rRNA from 1 species